UGUUCUGUGGUUUAGUUAAUUAAAACGCCGGUCUAGCGAUUACGGAGUCGUGGGUUCGAAUCCUAACAGAACGC
rnacentral:tRNA from 1 species